rnacentral:rRNA from 1 species
GACGAACGCUGGCGGCGUGCUUAACACAUGCAAGUCGAACGAAGAGCGAUGGAAGCUUGCUUCUAUCAAUCUUAGUGGCGAACGGGUGAGUAACGCGUAAUCAACCUGCCCUUCAGAGGGGGACAACAGUUGGAAACGACUGCUAAUACCGCAUACGAUCUAAUCUCGGCAUCGAGGAUAGAUGAAAGGUGGCCUCUACAUGUAAGCUAUCACUGAAGGAGGGGAUUGCGUCUGAUUAGCUAGUUGGAGGGGUAACGGCCCACCAAGGCGAUGAUCAGUAGCCGGUCUGAGAGGAUGAACGGCCACAUUGGGACUGAGACACGGCCCAGACCCCUACGGGAGGCAGCAGUGGGGAAUCUUCCGCAAUGGACGAAAGUCUGACGGAGCAACGCCGCGUGAGGGAGGACGGCCUUCGGGUUGUAAAGCUCUGUUAAUCGGGACGAAAGGCCUUCUUGCGAAUAGUGAGAAGGAUUGACGGUACCGGAAUAGAAAGCCACGGCUAACUACGUG